UACGUGGGGUGCGAGCGUUAAUCGGAAUUACUGGGCGUAAAGCGUGCGCAGGCGGUUUUGUAAGCCAGAUGUGAAAUCCCCGGGCUUAACCUGGGAAUGGCAUUUGGGACUGCAAGGCUUGAGUGCGGCAGAGGAGACUGGAAUUCCUGGUGUAGCGGUGAAAUGCGCAGAUAUCAGGAGGAACACCUAUUGCGAAGGCAGCUCGCUGGGACGUAACUGACGCUGAGACGCGAAAGCGUGGGGAGCAAACAGG
rnacentral:rRNA from 1 species